rnacentral:rRNA from 1 species
AGCGAACGCUGGCGGCAGGCUUAACACAUGCAAGUCGAGCGGGCAUCUUCGGGUGUCAGCGGCGGACGGGUGAGUAACGCGUGGGAACGUGCCUUCUGGUUCGGAAUAACUCAGGGAAACUUGAGCUAAUACCGGAUACGCCCUUUUUGGGGAAAGGUUUACUGCCGGAAGAUCGGCCCGUGUCUGAUUAGCUAGUUGGUGGGGUAACGGCCUACCAAGGCGACCAUCAGUAGCUGGUCUGAGAGGAUGAUCAGCCACACUGGGACUGAGACACGGCCCAGACUCCUACGGGAGGCAGCAGUGGGGAAUAUUGGACAAUGGGCGCAAGCCUGAUCCAGCCAUGCCGCGUGAGUGAUGAAGGCCUUAGGGUUGUAAAGCUCUUUUAUCCGGGACGAUAAUGACGGUACCGGAGGAAUAAGCCCCGGCUAACUUCGUGCCAGCCGCCGCAGUAA